UUCGUCCGUCCCGUGGACGUGCCGACCAUCCUCGCGACGACCCGGCUACCCUGGCGUGGUGCGCCCGGCGUCGGACGACGCGCGGGCGCCUGAAGCCGACAGCCGUCGCAACUGAGGGAGCCCCUUCAUG
rnacentral:sRNA from 22 species